GAAUCCAAAAGCUUGAUGCGGUCAGGAAAACAAGAUCUGGGCACAAAAAAAGACUGGACCGUAGCAGCAAGAUUUGGGCCGUAGCAUAGGAAUGAAUGUUUUUGUAAUUUUUUUUAUUUUUCUGUGUAUUUGAUGGGCUUGUGUCAGCCCAAUGUCACUGUUAGUUUUUUUUAUUUUUCUGGUUUGUAAAGGGCCUCUUAUAAAGUCCAAGUUUGGAAGAGUCCUUGGUGCUCUUUCCAUUCUUGGCAACCUUUCUUGAUUGCUUUAUUUUAAUUUUAGCAUAGCUAGACAUAGGAGUAUAAUUUGAUUGUCUUUGCAUGUGUUUGAUUUUCACGUGUAGGUG
rnacentral:lncRNA from 1 species